AGCCCCACAUCCAGGACCUUGGCUGCAUCUGCCACCUCGUACGGUUGGCCACUGGCUGUGGCAUCAGAGCAGCCCAGGUACCGGUGGAAGACAUCCUGGUGGGGAUAUACACCCACUUUGAUAAAAGUGCAAAAAGAUGUUAAGUCUACAAAGAGUUUGUAGACUUCACUGAUUCAGACCACCUGAAGCUCCUCAGGUACUGCAGCACAAGAUGGCUAAGUCUGUUAACCUGCAUCCAGAGGGUGCUGAACCAGUGGGAUGCACUACAGGUCUACUUUAACAGUCAUGAGGAAGUAGAGAGGAGUGUUAAAGUGCGUGAUCUGGCAAGCCAUCUGCGUGAUCCAAUCAUGAAGACCUAUUUCCUGUUCCUGAGUGCUAAAUUCAGCCUUUAUCUGAAUUUAACAUUGCC